CUCCUGGGAAGUCCUCGUGUUGCACCCGUUAAGGCGCAUCGUUGCGUUCGGAUCCUUUU
rnacentral:rRNA from 1 species